rnacentral:rRNA from 1 species
UACGUAGGGGGCAAGCGUUGUCCGGAAUCAUUGGGCGUAAAGCGCGCGUAGGCGGCCCGGUAAGUCCGUUGUGAAAGUCAAAGGCUCAACCUUUGAACGCCGAUGGAUACUGCCGGGCUAGAGUCCGGAAGAGGCGAGUGGAAUUCCUGGUGUAGCGGUGGAAUGCGCAGAUAUCAGGAAGAACACCAACGGCGAAGGCAGCUCGCUGGGACGGUACUGACGCUGAGACGCGAAAGCGUGGGGAGCAAACAGG